CAUUAUCCAUGCUUUGUCAAAUGUCUUUUUAAUAUUUUCCUUGGAAAGACAAAUAUAAGAAAAUAACUUUUCCUUGGAAACACAAAUAUUCUUUUUUAAAUCUUUUCUUCACCUUUCUUCUUCUUCCUUCUUCCUCUCUUUAGUUUUGAAAUCAAAUAGAAAUAAGCAAUAAUCUGCAUCAUCAGAUCUGAUUUUUUUAAUUCUUUUAUGCAGCAACAAAAUAUGGAAAGGACUCUGAGAUGGUGGUUCCUCACUCUGAUGAGGUUGUUGUUGAAGGUCAUCUAACCUAUGGAAGGAACAAGGCGUGGUCCUCCAAUCAGUUCUGAAGCAGAAAGACAAAGAGCGUUUUACUACUUGAAUAAUUUGAUUGUGUUUUUUCUUUGUUUCCAAAUUUAAAAGUUAUUUGUUGUAUCAUAGAUUGAAACUCAUAUUUUUGUUUGUCUUAUAUUUUUUGACUCAGAUCUAAAAAAAUAGCUGAUUACAUUUUGGAUCUA